rnacentral:lncRNA from 1 species
AGAUCCGAGAGCACUUCUGGUCAGCUAGGACAAUUAGGAGAGGAGAGAGUGCAUUCUGGUCACGCAGGACAAUUAGAGAGGUGAGGGAGACGCGAGAGACUUCUGGUCACACAGGAUCAGUGAAGCGUGAGGGAGAGUGCACUUCUGGUCACGUAGGACAAUUGAUAGAAGAGAGGCAAGAGAGACGAGGGACUCUUGGUCACACAGUGACAAUACGGAGAGGGCAGAGGUGA